CAUCUCCCUGCUCUCUUCCAGAACAUAUGUAAUGGCUUUGUGAGGUACCAGAAUUCCCUUUCUAGUAUAUUUGUCUUUCCAGCGAGCUGUAAAGGAUAUUGUCUCUCAGAGAGAAGAGUGGGAGACUGCAAAGGAGAUUGCCGCCAUUUUGCAGUAUAUAUGUGUUGUUGCUGCUGACCUACUGACUCGCCUCUGAUGUGAAGCCGCAGCUGGGCCAGAUGCAUGUGAUACAGCCAGCAAGAGUCCUGCUUUUACAGGAUUCUCUUGUCAUCAAGAGAAAUCCCUUUCUGGAGGGAACAAAAAGGGACAAAAUUUUACCAGGAUGUUCAUAUAGUUUUCCUGAACUUGGUUCCCUGUGGUCCUCACUUCCAUCUGCUAAGCAAGGUAUGUGAUUGAAAAUCGCAGAUGUUUGAUAUCACAUUUUACUGCAUUUGUUUGGUGCUGGACAGAUAGCAGAGAACACAUAGAAAGAUAAAGGUUUCAGGGAGAAAAAAAUUGUAUUCUUGAUAUCCAGGCAUAUAUGGUUUCAUCGUAAUAUACACUUAAAAACUGAAUUCCUGAAAAGUCAAGAUGGUAAUGACAACAACAGUGACCAUUUUGAAGGCUCUGUGCUAAACAUUUAUGUAGAUGAUUUUGACAAUGACUUUAUUCAGUAAGGAGUUGUGGUUACUCUCAUUUUACUGGCUGAAGAGAUUGGAGCUUUGAGACGUCUGAAGACAUUUCCAGUUCCAUUUGCUUUCAGACAACGUCAUGCUUAUUGCUACUGGUCUUCAUUCUGAGUUAGAAAGAACGUGCCUUUGGUGAACUCUUACUCAUGUUUAUUUGAAGAGCCAAUUCAAAUGUCUUUGGCACCUUGCUUUGGCCAGCCCUUAGUGUCCAGACCCUUUUAUUCAGAUCUUCAGAGAUUUAUCAGCAAUAAAUGGUCUUAGACUGAAAGUUAAGGAGCUCUGUCUCCUUCAGAACAGAACUCAGUAAAUGUGGUGAGUUCUAGAUAGACACCACAGUUCUCAUUUUGUCCAAUCUGCAUCUGUGGUAUGCAGAGCUGCAAGUUCUGAGGCUCUGUAGGGAGUCAUUUCUGGUUUCCCAUCAAGAUACCAUUGGAAAAGAGAGGACAGAAAAGUGGGACGACGUCAAUGCAGGAGUUCUAUGCGGUGGAAGCAUGGCUAGGACUUUCAAAGUAAAAUAUGUAAACAGAACUGUUUGAAGAAGACUACCAAGUGAUGCUGAACAAGUCGCACAUGGUAUUUGGUUCUCUGCGGCUACGAAAACCAAGUCCAGUCUUUGAGAAUCCCUGGGGUAAAUGUUCACAGGGAGAACACAGAAAUCCCUUUUACUUACAUGAUGAGAUCCCAUUACCUGCUGCCUAAGGCCACGGUUACAGGGAUGAAGGUUACUAAGGAGUACAUCAGCCUUUUAUUCAUAGUUGAUGUAAAAACAACAACAGCAAUAACCCGUCAUCACGUCUGAGUUAACAUAUUAAAGGGAAGAAUAUAUGGAGAUUUAGGGGAAAAAUUAUAUAUAUAUAUAUAUAUAUAUAUAUAUAUAGAGAGAGAGAGAGAGAGAGAGAGAGAGAGAGAGAGAGAUGUUAAUUUAAUUAUCAUGUAUGGACUUAAAGUUUAAAAAAGAAGAGCAAAAUGUGAGUAGAUAUGUAUAUGUGAGCAGUAUGCAUACUGAGCUUAUAAAGGAAUUUCUUUGCUUAGGGAAUUAGAAUUCAAUGCUGUUGGUGAGAUGACAAUAAAGGUGUUUACAUAUACAUAUGUGUUGAUUGUGAUUGUUUUAAGGAUAAACUCUUGUACUCACUACAUAAUAAAAGAAAAAAAUAUAUAUAAAAUUAUUUCACAAGUAAGGUAGUAGCCCAAGAUGUAUUUAGUUUUGGGUGGUUAAAUAAUUUGCAGAUUAUGCAUUUUGGCAUCCUCCCCAGUGGUGGUUUUUUUUUCUUGUGAGCAGUUUUAUUUUAUAUAGUAAUUGUCGGGGGUCUUUAGUGCCAUGAUUGAUAGCUUGGGGUAAAAAAAAGAAGCUGUUUCUGAAUGACAGAAAGUAACAUUAAAUAUGAUGAAAACUUCUCUGAAUA